GCGGAACAAAUAAUGAGGUAAGUUAUUGUUUUUAAGAGCAUUAAUUGGAGACUUAAAAUCUCUCGCCAGCAAUGGCGUGCCGGUUCGAGUCCGGCUUCGGCACCA
rnacentral:tRNA from 1 species